UCUCUCUGCAAGAUUGUUGAUGUCUGCCAACACACUUCCGAUCAUGACUACUUAGUUGAUGUUCUUGGGUUUAUGACUGAUAUCUCUGCUGAGAGAGAGUAUGUAAGGGAUGGUAAGGUCACCAAGAUGGUUGUUUUUGAGAUUACUGAUGCAAGUGGUAAGUGUGAGUG